rnacentral:lncRNA from 1 species
AACUUGGAAACAAAUUCUUCAAUAUUUUUAUCUGAACUUCCUCCUUCAUCCACAGCAUUUCUAGCCAUUUCCUUCCAUUUCUUUGCAUUUUCCCUAAUUAAUUUUCCUUUCUCUUCUUCCAUCACUAGUUUUAUACAUUCUUCUAUAACUUCUCUUCUAACUAUCCCUUUUUCAUCUUGUUUGGCUUUAACUCCCAUUUCCCAAACAUCUUUCACAAGCUUUGCAUUUGUUGGUUGAUCUGACCAUUGUGGCAUUGUCACCAUUGGCACUCCCAAACUAAUUGCUUCCAGAGUCGAAUUCCACCCACAGUGUGUCAGAAACAUCCUAUCGAUUCAUGUUCCAACACUUGUAAUUGUGGACACCAUGACACCACUAGUCCUUUUUCAAUUGUUAAUUCCUCUAAAAAGUUCUUGGGAAGUUUGGAUUCUUCAGUAGACCUAACAACCCACAAGAAGUUGUUGUUGCUAUUCUUCAAACCCCAUGCCAAUUCUUCCAUUUGCUCAACUUCUAAGUUGGUUAUACUUCCAAAUGAUACAUACACCACUGAGUUAAUUGGUUGAUGGUUUAACCAAUUUAGGCAUUCAUUUGUCAUUGGUUUGAAGACACUAAGGCCAUACUCUUUGUCUUCAUGUAGUCUCUUGUCUAAGUACAUUGAUGGUAUUGUUGGUCCAAUUGUCUUGAUUGGAUAUAUCUUGGACAUAGAAUCAAUUACCUACAUGUCAAAUAAUAAAAAUAGAAUAAGAUUUCAUGUAACUAUUUGAAUAAUUUGUACAAUAACAUAGGUGACUAGAAGAUGAAGUCUGAGGUUUUAUAUAGUUUAAUUCCUUCUAUGUUUUCCGUGGCAGAGUCAGAAUUUUUACUAAGUAGAUUUCAAAUAUGAAGAAGUUAACACAAAAUAUUUAGUUUGGAUGAACCCCUUUCCCCCACAUGACUCUGCCCCUGGCUACUACAUAAUACCUCACAGAAUGGGUGUUUUUUUUAAUUAAACUUCUAACAUGUUAUAAGCUUUAAUAAGUAGAUUAUGGAGGAGCCCUAAUACGAAAUCGGGAGAAAUAUUUUUCUUCUAAAUACGAAAACUACAACAAUCUUCAUGAACAUAUGCUUUGUCAGUUCAUUUUUUAUAUAACAUCAAAUUCAAUAGCUAAGAACGCGAAGAAGAAACAGAACGACAAUAGUAUAUAUGUUACCUCUUUCUCCAACUCAUAGAAGCUGUUGAUUAGAACCCAAUCAACUUUGUCAAGAUUUGAGAAUUGAUUUCCUAACAUUUCAAUUAUUCUUUCUGCUUCAGGACUAAUAACAAAAGAAGGUACAUCUGAUGCAUCGAUCGGACUAGAAAAUCCAGGAAUUAAGAUUUCUUCAUCAUUUUGAUUAGGUGGAAGUUUUAUUACCCCUUUAUGAACAUGGUAAUAAAUAUCAUCCACUGCACAAUUUUGUGUGAAAAAUGUAGCACUAAUUAAUCCAAAAUUCUUUGCCACUUCAACAGCCCAAGGAAGGAAUGGAUCAUAUACUAUGCAAUUUACAGGGCAUCCACUAUCUGCUAAUUUUUUAAUAAGCUGAGACAGAGUAUCCGAGCCAACUUCUUUGAAUCGUGUUAUGUAGGCUACGAAAGUUUCUGCUUGGUGGAAACCACCAUCAUCGUAGCCAUCAGAUAUGGCCUCGAUUGAUACUGAAGUUGGCAAUUCUUGCAUUGUUUUCAAGAAGUAUUUUGUGGUUGCUAUAGUGAUUUUAACACGUUUGGAUUGUAAACGUUUGGAGAAUUGGAGCAUUGGGUUGAUAUGACCUUGGCCUGGAAAUGGCAAGAUCAAGCAAUGAGCUUUGUGAGUAGUCAUUUUUUAUUUUGCAACUUCUCAAUGAACGAGUUGAUAGAUAGGAUGAGAAAAAUUAUGUGGUUCUUAUAGUUAGUUGAUAGAGUUGAAGUGUGUCUUGGCUUCUUCUGCCUAUUAUUGAUACCAAGUUUUUAUUGCAAACAUGUGCAAUGACAUAAGAAAUUUAUGGGGUACUACGCAAUAAUUAUACGGCCCAAUAUAUAUUGUUGAAUGUAUCACAUGUGAAACUCUCCAGUAUAUGAAUGCUUCAAAUGAGUUACUAAACUACAAAGUUAUUCAUCUUGAUUGCAAAAACAAUAAAACAAUUAUUUACAUAUCAUCACAUAUCAUCAAUUUAUACCAUAGUCUUAGCAAAUAGGCAGGAAAUGACCCAUUGACCAUCACAUAUCAUCAAUCUAUACCAUAUUCUUAGCAAAUAGGCAGGAAAUAGUCUUAACAAAUAGGCAGGAAAUGACCCAUUGACCAUCACAUAUCAUCAAUUUAUACCAUCAAUAGAGAAUAUUACAAUUAAGCAAAAUACACUUGUUUAUUUUUCUACUUAGGAGAAAUAGUAACCAACUUGGAAACAAAUUCUUCAAUGUUUUUAUCUGAACUUCCACCUUCGUCCACAGCAUUUCUAGCCAAUUCCUUCCAUUUCUUUGCAUUUUCCCUAAUCACUUUUCCUUUAUCUUCUUCCAUCACUAGCUUUAUACAUUUUUCUAUAACAUCUCUUCUAACUAUCCCUUUGUCAUCUUGUUUGGCUCUAACUCCCAUCUCCCAAACAUCUUGCACAAGCUUUGUAUUUGUGGGCUGAUCUGACCAUUGUGGCAUUAUCACCAUUGGCACUCCCA